rfam:Physcomitrella patens subsp. patens PHYPAscaffold_175 genomic scaffold, whole genome shotgun sequence.
CUUAAUUUGACUCAACACAGGGAAACUUACUAGGUCCAGACAUAGUAAGGAUUGACAGAUUGAGAGCUCUUUCUUGAUUCUAUGGGUGGUGGUGCAUGGCCGUUCUUAGUUGGUGGAGUGAUUCAUGACAACAAGAUGACCAUUCCAGUUUCUUUCUUAAUAUAUAUAUCAAGUUAUUUCUAUUUUUUCAUCUUUCUUUGAGAGAAGUCUCACUUGUUAUUUGUCUUUAUCAUGUUCUUGUCUUUGAUAGGUUGUUGAG